AUUGAACGCUGGCGGCAGGCCUAACACAUGCAAGUCGAGCGAGCGGCGGACGGGUGAGUAAUGUCUGGGAAACUGCCUGAUGGAGGGGGAUAACUACUGGAAACGGUAGCUAAUACAGCAUACCAUCAGCUGUGCCCAGGUGGGAUUGGCGAGUAGGUGGGGUAAAGGCUAACCUAGGCGACGAGCCCUAGCUGGUCUGAGAGGAUGACCAGCCACAGUGGAACUGAGACAGGGUCCAGACGCCUACGGGAGGCAGCAGUGGGGAAUAUUGCACUAUGGGCGCAAGCCGGAUGCAGCCAUGCCGCGUGUUGGAAGACGGCCUUCGGGUUGUAAAGCUCUGUCAGCGGGGAGCCGUGAUCAGCAGAAGAAGCACGGGCUAACUCCGUGCCAGCAGCCGCGGUAAUUC
rnacentral:rRNA from 1 species